AAAAGCUUGCUUUUCAAAUCUUAGCGGCGGACGGGUGAGUAACACGUGGGCAACCUGCCCUUGAGACGGGGAUAACUCCGGGAAACCGGAGCUAAUACCGGAUAACACAUAUCUUCGCAUGAGGAUAUGUUAGAAGGUGGCUUUUAGCUACCACUCAAGGAUGGGCCCGCGGCGCAUUAGCUAGUUGGUGAGGUAACGGCUCACCAAGGCGACGAUGCGUAGCCGACCUGAGAGGGUGAUCGGCCACACUGGGACUGAGACACGGCCCAGACUCCUACGGGAGGCAGCAGUAGGGAAUCUUCCGCAAUGGACGAAAGUCUGACGGAGCAACGCCGCGUGAGUGAUGAAGGUUUUCGGAUCGUAAAGCUCUGUUGUUAGGGAAGAACAAGUACCUGUUAAAUAAGCAGGUACCUUGACGGUACCUAACCAGAAAGCCACGGCUAACUACGUGCCAGCAGCCGCGGUAAUACGUAGGUGGCAAGCGUUGUCCGGAAUUAUUGGGCGUAAAGCGCGCGCAGGCGGUUCCUUAAGUCUGAUGUGAAAGCCCACGGCUCAACCGUGGAGGGUCAUUGGAAACUGGGGAACUUGAGUGCAGAAGAGGAGAGCGGAAUUCCACGUGUAGCGGUGAAAUGCGUAGAGAUGUGGAGGAACACCAGUGGCGAAGGCGGCUCUCUGGUCUGUAACUGACGCUGAGGCGCGAAAGCGUGGGGAGCGAACAGGAUUAGAUACCCUGGUAGUCCACGCCGUAAACGAUGAGUGCUAAGUGUUAGAGGGUUUCCGCCCUUUAGUGCUGCAGCAAACGCAUUAAGCACUCCGCCUGGGGAGUACGGUCGCAAGACUGAAACUCAAAGGAAUUGACGGGG
rnacentral:rRNA from 1 species